GCUCUUCUUUAACAGGGAGUCUCAUCUCUGAAGAACUGCAUUUUGGGCAUGAAGAUGUUGAUGAGCUUCUCUCAGGUUACAGAGGAUUCUAUGAAGAAGUCAUCGUUAAUGGACUAAAUUCAGAUCAUGAUGCAGAUGACACACCAGAGGGCCUUUAUGAUGAUGCCAUUACUAGUGGACAGAACCUUGGUAUUAAAAAAGGUAUGUUCAUUUGUACAUAAAUUUGCUUAUGCAUUUUUACACACUAUUUCUUUAAGGUGAAG